CGUAUGGAGCAAGCGUUAUCCGGAUUUACUGGGUGUAAAGGGAGCGUAGGCGGUGCUAUAAGUCUGAUGUGAAAGCCCGGGCUCAACCGCGGGACUGCAUUGGAAACUGUAGGACUGGAGUGUCGGAGGGUAAGUGGAAUUCCUAGUGUAGCGGUGAAAUGCGUAGAUAUUAGGAGGAACACCGGUGGCGAAGGCGGCUUACUGGACGACAACUGACGCUGAGGCUCGAAAGCGUGGGGAGCAAACAGGAUU
rnacentral:rRNA from 1 species